ACGGCAGGAGACUCUAUCGCUGCAAUUUUUUGCAGAGGAAAGUCCGGGCAACGCAGAGCGCCAUACUUCCUAACGGGAAGGUGCCCGUUUCUUUGAAACGGGUAACAGCAAGUGCCACAGAAAAUUACCGUCCGCCAAAAGCGUGAUAAGGGUGAAAACGUGAGGUAAGAGCUUACGGGUGUUGCUGGCGACAGCAGCAUGGGGUAAACCUUAUGGGUUGAAAGGUCAAAUAUGUCUGGGUUUGAGGAUUGCUCGUCCGAUCCAGGCGGGUAGACCGAUAGAUCCGUACAGUGAUGUGCGGACCAGAUCAAUGAUAGAGCCCCUUAUGGGUGACAGAAUCCGGCUUAUACUCCUGUUGUUACC
rnacentral:RNase_P_RNA from 1 species